rnacentral:rRNA from 1 species
UACGUAGGGUGCGAGCGUUAAUCGGAAUUACUGGGCGUAAAGCGUGCGCAGGCGGUUUUGUAAGUCUGUCGGGAAAUCCCCGGGCUUAACCUGGGAAUGGCGAUGGAGACUGCAAGGCUAGAGUUUGGCAGAGGGGGGUAGAAUUCCACGUGUAGCAGUGAAAUGCGUAGAGAUGUGGAGGAACACCGAUGGCGAAGGCAGCCCCCUGGGUCAAAACUGACGCUCAUGCACGAAAGCGUGGGGAGCAAACAGG